rnacentral:rRNA from 1 species
CCUACGGGAGGCAGCAGUGAGGAAUAUUGGUCAAUGGGCGAGAGCCUGAACCAGCCAAGUCGCGUGAGGGAAGAAGGAUCUAUGGUUUGUAAACUUCUUUUAUAUGGGAAUAAAGGGAGGCACGUGUUCCUGUUUGUAUGUACCAUAAGAAUAAGCAUCGGCUAACUCCGUGCCAGCAGCCGCGGUAAUACGGAGGAUGCGAGCGUUAUCCGGAUUUAUUGGGUUUAAAGGGUGCGUAGGUGGUUAAUUAAGUCAGCGGUGAAAGUUUGUGGCUCAACCAUGAGAUUGCCGUUGAAACUGGUUGGCUUGAGUAGAUGAGAGGUAGGCGGAAUGCGUGGUGUAGCGGUGAAAUGCAUAGAUAUCACGCAGAACUCCGAUUGCGAAGGCAGCUUACUGGACUAUAACUGACGCUGAGGCACGAAAGCGUGGGGAUCAAACAGGAUUAGAUACCCUGGUAGUC